GACGAACCGUGCGAACGUUGUUCGGAAUCACUGGGCUUAAAGGGCGCGUAGGCGGACUGCCAAGUCCGGGGUGAAAUCCUCCGGCUUAACCGGAGAAUUGCCUGGGAUACUGGCGGUCUUGAGGGAGGUAGGGGCACGCGGAACUUCCGGUGGAGCGGUGAAAUGCGUUGAGAUCGGAAGGAACGCCCGUGGCGAAAGCGAGGUCCUGGACGUCUACUGACGCUGAGACGCGCAAAGGCU
rnacentral:rRNA from 1 species